CCGAUCUCUGAGUCUGAUUUGGUAGCUUAUAUUCUGUCUGGUCUUCCUGAUGAUUACGAAUCCUUUGUUGAUUCUAUUGAAACAAGAAAUGAGUCUGUUACUUUUGAUGAAUUGCAUGGGUUAUUGUUGAGCAAAGAAA